UACGGAGGGGACUAGCGUUGUUCGGAAUUACUGGGCGUAAAGCGCACGUAGGCGGAUUUGUAAGUCAGGGGUGAAAUCCCGGGGCUCAACCUCGGAACUGCCUUUGAUACUGGGAAUCUCGAGUCCGGAAGAGGUGAGUGGAACUGCGAGUGUAGAGGUGAAAUUCGUAGAUAUUCGCAAGAACACCAGUGGCGAAGGCGGCUCACUGGUCCGGUACUGACGCUGAGGUGCGAAAGCGUGGGGAGCAAACAGG
rnacentral:rRNA from 1 species